AGUUGUUGUUUGGCAAGUUUGAAUUUACCUCAUUCAAAGGUAAGAUAAUUGUUUUAGUUGGAAGGUGCCUUCCAACUACAACAAUUGUCCUCCUCUGGAUGGAGUAAUUCAAACUUGUUAAACGGCAGGA
rnacentral:pre_miRNA from 1 species